rnacentral:rRNA from 1 species
AGCAGUAGCCACGGUAAUACGUAGGUCCCGAGCGUUGUCCGGAUUUAUUGGGCGUAAAGCGAGCGCAGGCGGUUUGAUAAGUCUGAAGUUAAAGGCUGUGGCUCAACCAUAGUUCGCUUUGGAAACUGUCAAACUUGAGUGCAGAAGGGGAGAGUGGAAUUCCAUGUGUAGCGGUGAAAUGCGUAGAUAUAUGGAGGAACACCGGUGGCGAAAGCGGCUCUCUGGUCUGUAACUGACGCUGAGGCUCGAAAGCGUGGGGAGCGAACAGGAUUAGAUACCCCUGUAGUCCCUGUCUCUUAUACA